rnacentral:lncRNA from 1 species
CACGUAGUAAGCAUUUAGUGCUAGUGUUUACUCACCACUUCCAUUCAUAUGAAGAGUUUAGAAACUAAUCUUUGUCCUUAGCGGCAGUGGAUAAUUUACAGUACUUUUACCUUAUUAGAAUAUAUAACCUGAUUUUGUUGUUUUUUUUUUUAAGUCUUCUAUUCAAGUCACUAAACUUUAUAUUCAUAUAAGGUUUAAUCCACAGCAUGUCAUGAUGCUGGCCUUUGAUAACUUUUUUCAAGAGUCCUUGGACAGAUGACUGUGACCAUUGUGGCCAUAUUCUUACCUAAUCCACACAUUGGAGAACGUGUUUAUCAAGUUUAUGAGUUAUAUUUCCACUAAUCUUCGUAAAAGUAAUUAUCUUGCUUAUUAUUACAUGAAAUAAAUGUUGCACGUGAACAAGCAUUUUUUAAUAAUGAGUCUGUUUAUUACUGAACUAAGUUUAUACGUUAGCAAGGGUUUCAGUAAAAUAAGAUUUGUGUUAAAUAAUCUUCAGAAGUGGUAUUCUGUGGUGAUAAAAAUUGCUUUAGGGUUGCAUUUAUAUCGCUGCGGUCAUACCAAGGGUCAGGAUAUAGGUUUUUAGUUGGCAAAACCAUCAAGGACUCCAUUUAGAAGGGUAUUUUUAAUAAAAUUUAUUGAGUAUUUUAAUUACAGCCCUCUGCUUUCAUGUAUUUUUGCUAGCAAAAUAGUCUUUGACCAUAGGUUUAAUGCACUCUCACUACAAGGAGAGAAGGGUUUUGAGGGUGGAGAGACUUGAACCUGUAGUGUGGCAGGCAUUCUACAAAAUAUAUUUUCAGAAAUACCCUAUGUGGUAGGCUUUGUUAUCUUUUCUUUACAAGUGAAGAGGCGAAUUCAAAAGAUGCCUAUGGUUGGUUACACAGCUUUUGAUUUGCAUAGGUAUUCGAACCCAGGUUUUGCUGACUUCAAUGCUUUACCUUAAAAGAUGCUUUUUUAGAAUGGUAGAUGUUAAUAGAUGGUCUGUGUAAUUAGUUUCCUGGGCCUCCUGCAACAACAUAGAAAAAAAUGGGUAACGUAACAUUUAUUCUCUCACAAUUCCAGAGGCCAGAAGUCCAAAAUCAAGGUGUCAGCAGGGCGAUGCUCUCUGAAGGCUCUAGAGGAGAAUCCUUCCUUACCUCUUCCAAACUUGUGGCAGUUCUCAGCAGUCCUUGGUGUUCUUGGCUUGUAGAUGCAUCACUCCAAUAUCUGCCUCCAUCACCCCCCAGCUGUCUUUCCUCAUAUGUUUUUGCAUCAUCUUACCUCUGCGUCUGUGUUCAAGUUUUCUUCUGCUUAUGAGGACAUCGGUUAUAUUUGUUUAGGAGCCUACCCUAUUCCAGUGUGAUCUCAUCUUAGUUACAUCUACCAUGACCUUAUUUCCAAAUAAGGUUACAUUUUCAGACAUGGUAGUUAAGACUUUAACGUAUAUUUUUGGGGUUGAGAGGACACAAUUCAGUUGGUAACAGCUAUGACAAAAUUGGGUAAAUUGAUGAACAUCUUAAAAAAAACACAGUGGAAGAGGCAGGCACUGUAGAGUGACAAAAUACAUCUUUAUAGAAAUUCCAUGUUAAAAUUAUUUUGUGUUAUAAUAAUCAAAUUUAAAUACCUAAUACAUAUAUUACCAUUAAACAGGAUAGUCAGCACUACCUAGUUUUUUAGCUGAAUUUGUAAUGUCCAUAUGUUUAUGUUUCUUUAGUAAUACUUGAACUAAAGGAAUUUGCAAAGAAAACCCAAUAAUAUUAGUAUUACAUCAAAAAGUUACUGUGUAUUUUUCUUCCAUCAAGAAAUAAUGCUGACUUUUAAAGGUGGAGGAGUUUUUAGACUUCAGUAAACAUAGGUACCCUGAAAAUGUGCACUGUUGUAUCUUUUCACUUUUGUAUGUCAGUGCUUUGAAAGAAUGGACAAUGUUAUCAUUUUGUUUUGUCUGCUUAUUAAAAUUUUCUCCC